rnacentral:rRNA from 1 species
CCUACGGGAGGCAGCAGUAGGGAAUUUUCCGCAAUGGACGAAAGUCUGACGGAGCAACGCCGCGUGAGGGAUGAAGGUUUUCGGAUCGUAAACCUCUGUCCUUGGGGAAGAUAAUGACGGUACCCAAGGAGGGAGCCACGGCUAACUACGUGCCAGCAGCCGCGGUAAUACGUAGGUGACAAGCGUUGUCCGGAAUUACUGGGCGUAAAGGGCGUGUAGGCGGCCAAUUAAGUCAGAUGUGAAAUCCCCGGGCUUAACCUGGGAACUGCAUUUGAGACUGGAUGGCUUGAGGACCGGAGAGGGUAGUGGAAUUCCUAGUGUAGCGGUGAAAUGCGUAGAUAUUAGGAGGAACACCAGUGGCGAAGGCGACUACCUGGACGGCACCUGACGCUGAGGCGCGAAAGCCAGGGUAGCAAACGGGAUUAGAUACCCCGGUAGUCCUGGCCGUAAACGAUGGGUACUAGGUGUAGGAGGUAUCGACCCCUUCUGUGCCGCAGUUAACACAAUAAGUACCCCGCCUGGGGAGUACGGCCGCAAGGUUGAAACUCAAAUGAAUUGACGG